rnacentral:rRNA from 1 species
GGCCAGACUCCUACGGGAGGCAGCAGUGGGGAAUAUUGGACAAUGGGGGGAACCCUGAUCCAGCGACGCCGCGUGAGUGAAGAAGUAUUUCGGUAUGUAAAGCUCUCUCAGCAGGGAAGAAAGAAAUGACGGUACCUGACUAAGAAGCCCCGGCUAACUACGUGCCAGCAGCCGCGGUAAUACGUAGGGGGCAAGCGUUAUCCGGAUUUACUGGGCGUAAAGGGAGCGUAGACGGAAAGGCAAGUCAGAAGUGAAAGCCCAAGGCUCAACCAUGGGACUGCUUUUGAAACUGUCAAACUAGAGUACGGGAGAGGUAAGAGGAAUUCCUAGUGUAGCGGUGAAAUGCGUAGAUAUUAGGAGGAACACCAGUGGCGAAGGCGUCUUACUGGACCGAAACUGACGUUGAGGCUCGAAAGCGUGGGGAGCAAACAGGAUUAGAUACCCCCGUAA